AAAGGAAAAAUAAUGUAAGAAUAAUAAAUUACAUAUGAAACUACAAAAUCACCAUAUUAGAACUAGGUGAUCUAAAACAAAUGUUGAAGCUUUCAUGAAGAGGUAUACUGGAAUUUACCAAUAACAGAAAUGGAGUAUGCCUUACAUUAAGUUGAAACAAACCAGAGCUAAUCUUGAGGCCAGAGGCAAGUGGUUUGUGUGUAUGUGUAGGUGUGUGCUUGAACUAAUGAAUGUUACCAGAGUU
rnacentral:lncRNA from 1 species